ACACCUCAACUCUUGCGGUUUGCCGUGAUGAGCUUGGACUUUUGGGGGUUUUGCUGGCCACGGUCGGCUCCUCUGAAAUGGAUCAGCUUGCCAGUGUUUGGUGGCGUCAUGGGUGUGAUAACUAUCUACGCUUGUGAUAGCUCGCCAAGUAACCUUCAGAGAUGGAGGUUUGCUGGAGCUUAUAAAUGUCUCUCCUCUCAGUGAAGACAGCUUUUUGACC
rnacentral:misc_RNA from 1 species